UCACUUUCUGCAAAAUGAUUA
rnacentral:piRNA from 1 species